rnacentral:rRNA from 1 species
ACGGGUGAGUAAUGCAUCGGAACGUGCCCAGUAGCGGGGGAUAACGCAGCGAAAGCUGUGCUAAUACCGCAUAUUCUCUACGGAGGAAAGAGGGGGAUCGCAAGACCUCUCACUAUUGGAGCGGCCGAUGUCUGAUUAGCUAGUUGGCGGGGUAAAAGCCCACCAAGGCGACGAUCAGUAGCUGGUUUGAGAGAACGACCAGCCACACUGGGACUGAGACACGGCCCAGACUCCUACGGGAGGCAGCAGUGGGGAAUUUUGGACAAUGGGGGCAACCCUGAUCCAGCCAUGCCGCGUGUGGGAAGAAGGCCUUCGGGUUGUAAACCACUUUUGUCAGGGAAGAAAUGGACUUUUCUAAUACAAGAGUUCGAUGACGGUACCUGAAGAAUAAGCACCGGCUAACUACGUGCCAGCAGCCGCGGUAAUACGUAGGGUGCGAGCGUUAAUCGGAAUUACUGGGCGUAAAGCGUGCGCAGGCGGUUCUGCAAGUCAGAUGUGAAAGCCCCGGGCUCAACCUGGGAAUUGCAUUUGAAACUACAGGGCUAGAGUGUGUCAGAGGGGGGUAGAAUUCCACGUGUAGC